AGCCCGUCCAAUGGUAGUACAUUCUUUAGAGUAGAAAAAGUUCCCACAGGAAUUGCCAUUUAAAAAAAAAAUCCAAGGAGGAAGCAGUUUUUCAGUGGAAACAGACAAGAUUAUGGGACCACCGUGUUUCUUUAUCAUCCGUGUGUGCCAUCCUUACCAUAAUGUGUGAACCAACUGAUGGAUUUAUGUGAAACUCUGUAUUGUUAUCGUGCCACUCAUAUGUUCUUUCAAUUGUCUACCAUCAGCCAUAUUAACAUGGUGACUUAGUUAGAAGCAACACUAGAGCCACUUAAUAUAGUGUACUACAUUUUUGUAUGGUAGUAGGUCCUUAAGAAAAGGGUCGUGGGGUAAGCAUUUAUACCCAUUCAGAAGGUUCUUAGUUCAAUCCUCAGUCACAUCUGUGUACAGAUUUUUCUGCUCACUGAUGAUGCCUUCAGAUCUACCAGAGUUAAAGCUUCGGGAAUACAAAAGAAACCCCCCCCCCAUGGGUUGCAUCCCAUGUUAAAUUAUAGGGUUCCUCUGCUGACCAGCACUAUUGUGAUUACCUCAUCAUGAGGGGGGGGGCUGAGAUUGUUGUAUUCCACCUCAGAUGCUUUCAGUAGUAUCAGUUGUUUUGACUUACUUUUCUUCCAUUCUGUAUGUCACAGUUUGUAACUAGGCAACAUAUUGUGACAUUUGAGUGUGUAAAUACUUUGUACUCGAUACAGUUUGUUGUGUAGGCAUAGAAUGUGGGAGAAUGGUUCAUUUUGCAGAUAGGUUGCAUGAAUUAAGAAGAAACAUGACUCAAAAUUAUUACUGUCCCAUUGUACUUUUAUUAAAAUAUUUAGCGUUAAUCAUUUCAAUCCGUAUGACUUUAAUGUGCUGUAGCAUGCCCAUUUCUGGUUAUUGGCUGUGUGAGUAAGUUGUGUUGGAAAACGGAAUGUUACAUAUUUUUAUUAUUUCACAAAAUAACGGAUUGAACUAUAUAUGGAUCAUACCCUCUUUCCUGGCUGAUACUUCAGGAUGAAAGGAUUUUACGUGUUACUUGGAAACAUGGCCACAUUCUGUAAGAUCCUAAAAUACAAUGACUUUAAUGUUGUCUCUCUCUCUAAUUUCAGAUACCUGUCUCAUGAAUUUCAUGGAAAGAGACCAGGGAAAAAUGAAGUGGAGAAACGGAUGAAGAAGAAUGAACAGGAAGGAUUGAUGAAACAGAUGAGCUCAACAGACACUCACUUGGACCACGUAGCCUCUUGCAGCAGAAACAGAAAGAAACAGUCUCCAUUUGUGGUCCUUAGUGGCAGUAAACAAACGGCAACCAUCUCGAAAACAAAACUGCAAAUUCUUCAUGAAAUACGCUGCCACCAACUCUGAAAUAUAGUGUGGACUCAUGAUUUUAUUGUUUCUUACUGUCUGAAAUAUCAUCUCUAUUUUAAAUAAGACACAGCUUGCAGCUGCCGACAGUGCCCACAUGUACUGGAAGGAAGGCCACGGAGUUCAUGUCACAUAAAUGAGUACAGUGGUUCUCCUGCUUCCUUAGGUAACCUGUUGGCACCUGUAAGCUGAAAAGUACAAUUUCUAGUGAUUAGUUGCUUGCUUAUAGGACUUGAGCCAGAUGAACAGCCUCUAAGCUAAAUCAGACAUGAAGUGAUUAUAUUUGUUUUUUCCUUGAUUGCAAUAGCAAUAUUGUACACCCCCCAUCAAUGCUGCAUUCAACCCUGAAAAUUGGUCACUAAACAGAGAUGGGUAUUCUUCCAAGAGAAGAAGGGAACCCUCAUUCAGUGGUAGGCGAGUAUGAGAAGCUGUAAAGUUAUACAAGCACCACAAUCAGAAGAUGUACAGUCUACUGCAAAUCAUUGUAAAGCACCACUGAUAUAUUACUGAAACACAUGUAAAAUUAUACGAGGGUAAGUCAAUAAGCAAGUUACAAAUGGAUAUAGAACUUAAACAAAUAAGAGUACUGAUUUGAAAAAU